rnacentral:lncRNA from 1 species
GGACCAGGACAGGCUGCUGCGGGCCAGGGGCAAACACGUCAGGCCUGGCCCCCAGUCCGCUGCUGCCCCUCCCUUUCACCUUCCAUCCAGCACUAAGGGAGUCUGGCCACGGCCUAAUAUAGGAGGGCUUGUGGAAGGAGACACCCACCCCCUCUUUCUGCACCUCUCCCCUCUUCCAUGCCACCCCCAGGCCAGGAGCCACCACAGCCCUGUCUGUGACUCUCAGCUCCCGAGGCUGGGCUCUUCCCCAGGGAAGCUGCAUGACCAUGGCCACAUACAGGAGGUAGGAGACAGAGGCCUCCACGGUGGACGAUCGUGGCGUGAAGUCCACGUUGACCACGUUGUCGGUGCUGGGGGAGCGGAUGAAGGCCAGGGACCCGCGGCGCUCUCCCUGUGGUCAGGAAGCAGCCCGGAGACCCUAAAACUCCAUUGGCCUCAUGUCCAGAACUGAAUCAGCCAGUGCCAGAGCCUGCUGCAGCCCCGACCCGGCAGAGCAAGCGGCUCUGCUACCUCAGCCACGUAGCUGAUGGCAUCCUUCAGGUUCAGCUCGUGGAAGACAUUCAGGAUCCGGUCUCGAGACUUCUGGGCCGACCGUCUCAUGAGGACCCUGCUGAGGAACUUCCUGUCGAAGUGGGACCACCUGUAGGGACAGACCUUGGGUGUGAGCCUCAGGCGCGUUUAAAAUGAGGGAAGCAGCCCCUGCCACACGCCCAGGCCGUCCGCCGUUCUCCCGCCUGUCCUGUUGGAUGGAGGCCGUUAGACGCAUAUGAAACUGCAUGCCGCCUCCUCCAGAGGGUGGCUCAGGACACGGUGGGUGUCAGGCCUGGUCAGGCAAGGGGGCUUUGGC